AUUGAACGCUGGCGGCAGGCCUAACACAUGCAAGUCGAACGGUAACAGAAAGCAGCUUGCUGCUUUGCUGACGAGUGGCGGACGGGUGAGUAAUGUCUGGGAAACUGCCUGAUGGAGGGGGAUAACUACUGGAAACGGUAGCUAAUACCGCAUAACGUCGCAAGACCAAAGAGGGGGACCUUCGGGCCUCUUGCCAUCGGAUGUGCCCAGAUGGGAUUAGCUUGUUGGUGGGGUAACGGCUCACCAAGGCGACGAUCCCUAGCUGGUCUGAGAGGAUGACCAGCCACACUGGAACUGAGACACGGUCCAGACUCCUACGGGAGGCAGCAGUGGGGAAUAUUGCACAAUGGGCGCAAGCCUGAUGCAGCCAUGCCGCGUGUAUGAAGAAGGCCUUCGGGCUGUAAAGUACUUUCAGCGGGGAGGAAGGGAGUAAAGUUAAUACCUUUGCUCAUUGACGUUACCCGCAGAAGAAGCACCGGCUAACUCCGUG
rnacentral:rRNA from 1 species